GAAGGGGCCCUAAUUCAACAUGACCGGCGUCCUGACAGGGAGAAAAAAGGAAGAACACCAUGUAACAAGAGACAGAUACUAGAGUGACGUCACCGCAAGCCCAGAAACACCGAGAAUUGUUGGGAACCACCAGAAGCUGGAAGAAGCAAGGAACACACUCUCCCUCAGAACCUGCAGAAGGAACCAGCCCUGCCUACACACCUUGAUUUUGGACUUACAGCCUCCAGAAGUGUGAGUGAAUAAAUUUUCUGUUAUUUUAAGCCACCCAGUUUGUAAUAGUUUGUUAUAGCAGCCCUAGGAAACAAGGACAGGUUUACUUGCCUUGGCUGGGAUGGCUGGAACAGCUGGGGACUGACCAGUCCGCCUCCCUCCACCCCUUCCCCCUCCCAUCUCUCUGGGUCUCUCCAACCAUGUGGUCUCUCCACCACAGUAGCUGGGCCCCUUUAUGUGGAGGCUCCAUGUUGCAAGAGUGAAAGUAGAAGCUACUAGACAUCUUAUGGAUCAGGCCCAGAGCUAUCACCAGCUUACCUCUGCCAUGUUCUGUUGGUUAAGGCAAAUUGCAGAGCCUGCUCAGAUUCGGGAGGAGGAAACAGACUCCACGUGUUGAUGGAGGAGUGAUAGAGGCAUGGAAGGCAUGGAAGGACUUGGUGUCCAUCUUUGGAAACAGUCUCAAACAAGGAUUGUGUCCACCUGAGUUUGAGUAAAUGCAGAAAGAAUUGGCUUAUGGCGUUGAGGAGAGCCUAAAGCACAGAACCAUUGAGGGUUUUGCUGAAUGCAAUGGAACCACCGUCUCUGGAACGCCAGGGGCCAGUCGCCAUAGAAGCAGUCAACCUGAACCGUUGCAGGGUGUUUAUCUUCAGGAAUCUUGAGGCCCACCCCCAGGAGCCCUGGGCUUCCAGGAGGAUCACUGCCCCUCUGACAAGCAUGUCUUUCUUAAAUAGGCUGCAGAUGGACUUAGGACAACAAGAAAAGUCCCAUCAAGCAUCUGUUUACAGACACAGACAUCACAGCGCACGUGGAUUCCAGCGUAGAAACCUCACCUCACAUGAUUAGAGAGAUCUUCAGAGAGCAACGUUGUACCUAGAAGCUCUUCAGUUUACUAGGAAAGAGGUGACUGUAGAAAGCGGGUGUUGAGAAGAAUAGCCCAUAUGGACCCCUGGAUGCUGUUGUUUUGCCUUUUAGGGCCCAGAGGAUCUGGGUGUUUUCUUUGCUGAUCUCCCUUGUGCACGUGAUCAGGUGACAUUGGUGUCUGCGCUGAUAGGGGUGGCUCCUGUCUCCUUUUGGUACCACCUCUUGGGCAGUGGGUGGUCCAAAUAAUGUGGAGAAGAGUCCUGAGUUUGUGCUGUCUCUGCUUUAAUUUGUGUACAUUUUCCUUUAACUACUCUGCUGGGAACAUUAAAUCAAUGUGGAUGAUUUUUGAAGAAUGUAAUCUAGAAAAUUCAAUUAUUUAGCGCCUGGAAGGGUUUCAAAGAUUAAAAUGCUGUGCAAAAAUGUGUAAGCAUUUAUUAUUAAAAUUAAACAAAUGUUUUCUCCAUGCAAUUAAAUUGCAUUGUCAAAAUGGUGUGUUUGACUCCUCCAAACACAUUUUGUGUUAUUUUUAUUUGGACUUUUUCUAAUGCUCCCAGGCAGAAUUAGAAACUUCUCUCCUCUGUUGCUCCCAUAGCUUUGUCUUUAUAUCCCUAUUUUAGCUGAAUUCAAUUCAAUUUGAUUUUAUUUAGUUUCAAAUAACACUUAUUAAGUGUAAACUCGGUACUAGUUACGGUUCUGGGCUCCAAGGAACAAAACGUUAAGUUGUACCUUUCAUCAAACUACAAGUGUGUGUGUGUGUUGUGUGUGUGUGUGUGUUUUAACUUUAAUGCAGUUAGUUCCCUGGUAACAACAAAAUUCAAAGGAGGCAGAGGGAAGGGAACGAAUGCCUAUCAGCAUUCCAGGUGCUGACAGCUUCAAAGAUGAAUGAUUUUGAUUGCAUUGAAUUAACUAUGAAAGCUUUCAGCAAAACUGAGUCCUUUCCCUUUUGGAAGGAUUCAUCUUUUUUUAAGUUUAUUUUUGAGAGAGACAGAGAGAGAGAACACAAGUAAGGGAGGGGCAGAGGCAGAGGGGGACAGAGGAUCUGAAGCAGGCUCCAUGCUGACAGCAGAGAGCCCGAUGCAGGGCUCCCACCCACGAACUGUGAGACCAUGACCUGAGCCAAAGUCGGACACUUACCCAACUGAGCCAUCCAGGCGCCCCUGGAAGGAUUCAAAUCACCGUGGAUGGGGAGAGAAAGGACUUCUCCCGCCUACCCCCAUGGAAGAAGCACAACAGAGAAGGAUGGUGGCAAAACUUGCCUUUCGUUAGUUUUGCCCUUGAAAUUGGUGAAUACAGUUCUGCAAAUUGGAAAUAUUUCCUAGGUUUCCAGGUUGCUCAAGCGCCCAGCAACUGGGCCAGGCAUGAUGGCAACUUUCUUCCUAAAGUCAAGCAGUUUUCUUCAUUUUCUCAUAUAACUCCGACUUGUUUACAGAGGGAUGAUCCUGAAUAUUCAGCUGAUAUUCAGAAAAAAAUAUUGGUAAGGAACAGCAUUCAUGGUUAUAAAGUCAUUGCAAAGAUAAGAAUUGCAGCAUCAGGAUUUUGGCCUCGACCUUUGAGUAUGAGCAGAGAUUUUUUAAGAGGGAAGGACAUCAAAUAAACUAAACUAAGCCCCCCA
ensembl:lncRNA